CAGCCCCAGCACGGCCCGGUCCCGCAUGCCACCGCCCCGCGAGGACCGCUCUCCAAGGGCCGCCUGGGGCCCCGCGCCCGUACUCUCCUAACCCGGAGCCCUCGGCAGCCCAUUCCUGCCUGGCCACCCGGGACGGAGGAGGCACAGGGGUGAGCUGCCCGAGACCACAGGGCAAGCAAGCGGCUGACGGCGGAAAGACCCUGGGGAAGGGGCUUUGCGGCCGGCUAGAAACAUUUUCCCCAAGCGGCUCCGCAAAAUGACCAGCCUGUUCCGCCGGAGCAGCAGCGGCAGCGGCGGGGGUGGCACCGCCGGGGCGCGUGGGGGCUGGGGAGGCACGGCCGCCCCCCAGGAGCUCAACAACAGCCGGCCUGCCCGCCAGGUGCGCCGCCUAGAGUUCAACCAGGCCAUGGGCGACUUCAAGACCGUGUUCCCCAACAUGGAUUACAUCAUCGAAUGCGUGCUGCGCGCCAGCAGCGGCGCUGUGGACGCCACCAUCCACCAGCUGCUGCAGAUGAACCUGGAGGGCGGUGGCGGCGGCGGCGGCGGCGUCUAUGAGGACAGCUCCGACUCGGAGGACAGCAUCCCCCCGGAGAUCUUGGAAAGGACUUUGGAACCCAAUAGCUCGGAUGAAGAGCCCCCGCCUGUGGACUUCCCACCAGCCUACCAUAUGCACGUGUUCGACCGGCCCUACCCUCUGGCUCCUCCGACUCCACCUCCCCGUACCGAUGCACUGGGCUCUGGAGCCCCUACAAGCCAGAGACGCUAUCGGAACUGGAACCCACCACUGCUGGGCAACCUCCUGGAUGACUUUCUCCGAAUCCUGCCCCAGCAGCUGGACAGCAUGCAGGGUAACGCUGGGGGCCCCAAGCUUGGGAGUGGAGAGGGAGGUCCACCUGCCAUGGCUGGGCCAGGGCCCCGAGACCAGAGAGUCGCUGGAAGCAGUACCUGGAGGAUGAGAGGAUCGCGCUUUUCCUGCAGAAUGAGGAGUUCAUGAAGGAGCUGCAACGGAACCGCGACUUCCUCCUCGCUCUGGAGAGAGAUCGAUUGAAAUACGAAUCCCAGAAAUCUAAAUCCAGCAGCGUGGCUGUCGGAAACGACUUUGGCUUUCCCUCUCCUGUCCCAGAUGCCAGCAGCUCUUCCUUUCCAGAGAUGAUCUGACCCGGUGGGGGCAGCUGGAAAGCAACACUGGCCCCAGGUGAAGGGCCCAGCUGCAGCCGGACAGAUGGUGCUUGAGAACCGAGGCCCAGUGAUCCUCCAGCCACAGUCCAGCCCAACCACUGCCACUUUCCAUGGGACUUAGAACUUCGGAGUUGCUGCCUUGCAAUUGGAGGAAGGACCUGAGGCCCCUAUAGGCAGCAGCCAGUUACAGCCCCUUUUGUAGCCAGGCAUUCCUAUGGUCAAAGAGUGGAAAUGCAGGAACCAACCUCCCUUUAAAAAAAAAAAAAUCCAGAAAGCAGAUAAAAGUUGGAAUAUGGAAAAGGGCAAGAUGACCCCACCUGAGGCUCUUUGGCCUGAAGGUGGAGUCCCUGCCUCCCUCCGUUCCUUAUUUCUCCUGUCGCAGACUCUGCCUGACCCCCCUUCCUCAGCUCCCUUCUGGUCCCCCUUCCUCAGCUCCCUCUGGGCACUUGUGCCCUUCCCUUCCAUGGCCUCCUGUAUCUCAGCCUUCCCCCGGGGCUGCUGGUCCAGCACACAAGCCCUGCAACCAGCCUGGGUGGGAGGUCCCUGGCCAGUCCUCCAGGCACUCUGAGGAGCUAUGGGCUACUGCAAAGAGCAUCUGCCGGCUGCCCCGUCUGGCCUCAUCAGGCUGCUGCUGUUAGGGAUGGGCUCACUCCCAGCAGCUCCCCAUCACCCAGCAGGGAUGGGAAGGGUGGCCACCCCAGAGCUGGAGGACUUUGGGGAGGCAGAGUCUUUAAUUUGGCAGCAGACAAAAGCCAGUUCUGGAGUCACACCACAGUGGGGGCUCACAGGGGCUCUGACUCCCCAGCUUUACUGGAAGCCCUGCUGUCCGAGGGUGGGCAGCGGUGGGCCCUGGAGUGACUCCUUUGAGCAGGUGCAGGGCUGAAGAGCAAGGCAGAAAGGCCGCCAGCCUGGGUGGGAGCGCCUAGGGCAGAAGGGCUUGCUGGGUGCCCCUGAGAAGAGGGGGUGAUCUCAGGAGAACUCUGAUUCUAGGAACGCUUACAUGGCACUGAUCACUGCCACGGGGAGGGAGGCUGCCCAGCCCGUGGCCCCGCCCUGGACAUGGGAGCGUGCAGACCUUCCGGAGAGCCGGGAAGCCUGGGCAGGCACGAGGCUUCGGCGCGGCUUUGGGAGGUUGGGAGUGGCAUCCGAUCCUUGGCCGGGCCCUGGUGGCCUCAGUGGCCCCAAGAUCACAAGGGCGUAGCGAAGGCGAGCCGGCGAUCGCACCUCGUCCCGCCCACCCUGGCCGGACUCCCAACGCCGAGCUUCUCUUCGCUGGGGAGGGCCGGGACGCGCCGCCGCCGCCGCCGCCGCCGAGCGUGACCAAGUUUGGAAACGCGCGCGGGGCCGGGACGCUGGCUCGGGGGGCCCUGCCAAGGAGCGGCCGCCCCCUCCGCUGCUCCCCGCGCCAGGCCUGGGGCCCUGGAGGGAGGGGGAGGUCUCCGAGGAGUGCCUCGGUCCCCCAGCUGGAGUUCCCGACGGGUCUCUGAGCCUUCCCCGCGCCAGGACCGGGCGCACCGUCGGGGAAGCCCCAGCCCCACGUCUGUGAGUGUUGCUUUGUUAUCUUUCUUCCUCCUAUGUGUGGGUUUUUUCUUGGAGCUGUUUCAUAGGAAUUCCUGUAAUAAAGAGUUGGUGUUCU